rnacentral:rRNA from 1 species
UACGAAGGGGGCUAGCGUUGUUCGGAAUCACUGGGCGUAAAGGGCGCGUAGGCGGCGUUUUAAGUCGGGGUGAAAAGCCUGUGGCUCAACCACAGAAUUGCCUUCGAUACUGGGACGCGUUGAGUGUGGUAGAGGUUGGUGGAACUGCGAGUGUAGAGGUGAAAUUCGUAGAUAUUCGCAAGAACACCGGUGGCGAAGGCGGCCAACUGGACCAUCACUGACGCUGAGGCGCGAAAGCGUGGGGAGCAAACAGG